CCUCUCUUUCUCCGCUCCUUCUCUGUCCUCUCUCGUCAAUCCGUCACUUGCAUCUGCUUCUCUUCUCCUUGUACUCAAUUGAAACCAUCAUCCAAUGAAUCAAUCCUUAUAAUUGUUAAGCCUCAGCUCCUUGUCUUAGUUCUCAGCGGAUCUACAAAUUUUGUAUGAGUUUAUGCUUCUAAUCCAAGAUCCCCAAUUAUUUCAUUCAAAACCCUAAUCUCCCCCAAUCUCCCUUUAUCAGCAAUGGCCGCUGAAUUUACAGAGUCGAGAUCGAGAGAGAGAGAGAGAGCAAUAGCAAUAGCAAUGGGUAAAGAGGAAGAAAAGGAGAUCGAGACGUAUUUUCAGAGACAUGACUGCGAGACUAGUGUGCUGCUGCGGAUAUAAAUCACACUUUGAUUGCCUCUCACGUUGAUAAGGUGUGGUCAAACCAUCACAAUUAUGAAUUGAGUUUUUCAUUGUGAGGAGAUAGAAACGCGCAACAAUUUUUGUACAUGGCCUCUAUGAAAACCCAACAAUAGUGGUUCUUGAGGAGAAGAUCAGGUGGCAGGCAUAUUGUUGUUUGGCUCCAAUUUUGC